UACGUAGGGUGCGAGCGUUAAUCGGAUUUACUGGGCGUAAAGCGUGCGCAGGCGGCCCGUUAAGACAGGUGUGAAAUCCCUGGGCUCAACCUAGGAAUUGCGCUUGUGACUGGUGGGCUCGAGUACGGUAGAGGGGGGUGGAAUUCCUGGUGUAGCAGUGAAAUGCGUAGAGAUCAGGAGGAACACCGAUGGCGAAGGCAGCCCCCUGGGCCUGUACUGACGCUCAUGCACGAAAGCGUGGGGAGCAAACAGG
rnacentral:rRNA from 1 species